rnacentral:rRNA from 1 species
CAGUAGCCGCGGUAAUACGAGGGGGGCAAGCGUUGUUCGGAUUUAUUGGGCGUAAAGGGUGCGUAGGCGGUUUGGCAAGUCUUGUGUGAAAUCUUCGGGCUCAACCCGAAGCCUGCACGAGAAACUACCGGGCUUGAGUAUUGGAGAGGUGAGUGGAAUUUCCGGUGUAGCGGUGAAAUGCGUAGAUAUCGGAAGGAACACCAGUGGCGAAAGCGGCUCACUGGACAAUAACUGACGCUGAUGCACGAAAGCUAGGGGAGCAAACAGGAUUAGAUACCCGCGUAGUCCCUGUCUCUUAUAA